rnacentral:rRNA from 1 species
UACGGAAGGCAGCAGUGGGGAAUAUUGCACAAUGGGCGAAAGCCUGAUGCAGCUAUGCCGCGUGUAUGAAGAAGGCCUUAGGGUUGUAAAGUACUUUCAUCGGGGAGGAAAAAACAAAACUAAUAAUUUUAUUUCUUGACGUUACCCGAAAAAGAAGCACCGGCUAACUCCGUGCCAGCAGCCGCGGUAAUACGGAGGGUGCUAGCGUUAAUCAGAAUUACUGGGCGUAAAGAGCACGUAGGUGGUUUUUUUAAGUCAGAUGUGAAAUCCCUGGGCUUAACCUAGGAACUGCAUUUUGAAACUGAAAUACUAGAGUAUCGUAGAGGGAGGUAGAAUUCUAGGUGUAGCGGUGAAAUGCGUAGAUAUCUGGAGGAAUACCUGUGGCGAAAGCGGCCUCCUAAACGAAUACUGACACUGAAGGGUGCGAAAAGCGUGGGGAGCAAAACAGGGAUUAGAUACC